AGCCAUGUGGUGAGCACAAAGCGAACUAUUCUUUCGCCUUUUAUUAAAAAAUACCGUGUGUUCGUCACUCAUUGUGGCAUACACUUAUUUUUGAGUGAGUCUUCCUUUGCAGGACUC